UGGGGAAUUUUGGACAAUGGGCGAAAGCCUGAUCCAGCAAUGCCGCGUGUGUGAAGAAGGCCUUCGGGUUGUAAAGCACUUUUGUCCGGAAAGAAAUCCUUGGCUCUAAUACAGUCGGGGGAUGACGGUACCGGAAGAAUAAGCACCGGCUAACUACGUGCCAGCAGCCGCGGUAAUACGUAGGGUGCAAGCGUUAAUCGGAAUUACUGGGCGUAAAGCGUGCGCAGGCGGUUUGCUAAGACCGAUGUGAAAUCCCCGGGCUAACCUGGGAACUGCAUUGGUGACUGGCAGGCUAGAGUAUGGCAGAGGGGGGUAGAAUUCCACGUGUAGCAGUGAAAUGCGUAGAGAUGUGGAGGAAUACCGAUGGCGAAGGCAGCCCCCUGGGCCAAUACUGACGCUCAUGCACGAAAGCGUGGGGAGCAAACAGGAUUAGAUACCCUGGUAGUCCACGCCCUAAACGAUGUCAACUAGUUGUUGGGGAACUUCAUUUUCCUUAGUAACGUAGCUAACGCGUGAAGUUGACCGCCUGGGGAGUACGGUCGCAAGAUU
rnacentral:rRNA from 1 species